CAUAUGAGGGUCCAUGGAGGGCGGGUGUGAGGGUCUUUGUGAGCAUCUGGGCCCCUGGGAAGACUCGGCCAGCCCUGCCCUAAGGAGGCCCACAUUUCCAGCAGAGAAGAGGACAGUGAGCAAUGACCAUCAUGCCCUGCAGUGAGUGCGUCUGCCGGGAGCAGAGCUCAGAGCAGGGCACUCUUGACUCGCGUGGGGAGGAAGCCAGGAAGGCGCGUGGAGGAGGGCACUCUUGACUCCCGAGCUACUCAACUGAGACAGGAGGGACAGCAGCCUCCACAGAGACGCAGCUGCAGUCCAGGCUGCGUCUGGGAAGAGCGAGGCUGUGGCUGCAGUGGGGCUGCUGAGUGGCUGGAGAUGAAACUGGAACCCUGGAUUGGGCUCAGAUUGUGACAAGGCUAAGGCCUUGUGUGGGGUUUCCAGUUUUAGUUCUUAGGAGAGGAGCUCCUGGAGGCGGCCUCGGCUGGAGCCUGGGCAGUUGUAAUGCAGCCCUCAGUAGCCAUGAGCUUCUGCUGGGUCUCCAAGGGCUCAGCCUAAAGGGAAAAGAUGGCAGCUGAUGGUCAGGGGCCAGGGUUCCAGUGUUGCAAGGUCCCUGAGAUGGUCGGCCAUGUGCAGAUGAGGGAGGAGUUGUCCCUCUGGCCACAGGCUGGAGGCCUCUGCCUGGGCAGCUCAGACAGGGCAUAAAGACGGCCUCUGAAUCCUCAUUGCUCACAGGAGAAGGUGCCCAGGGUGGUGGCCCAGAAGGUGAGAGGCUUCUCUGCAAAGCUGAUGAACAUGAUUUCAGGGUGCCAUCAGAUGACAGAUCCAUCGGUGCAGAGUGCACAGUGGUGCUCGGAGUGGCAGAACAACCACAGCUUCUCAGGCAAGCAGAGGCCUCCAGAGCGGCCCUGGUUGAGGGCCUGGGAGCCCAGAGAGGCCUUGGAAGGCACGAUGGCUGCAUGGAGGAUCUUGACCUGGGAGUCAGGCUUCCAGGCUUCAGGCAAACACAGAGGUGGGGUUCUGACUUCUCACUGGAGUCACUGGCCAUGGGUCUUUGUGUGCAGCUCCUGUCACCAAGCACCCACCCACUCCAUGCUGGGCUCUGUCACAUCAGUCCCUUGGCCUCAUCUGUAAUCCUCACAGUCACUCCGUAAGGCUCCAAGAAGCACAUUGAAAAUGUUAGGAGAGUGAGCCUGCGGGGGAUGAGGGGUUUGAGUUCCUGGUCCUCCAGACAGUGAAGAUCUUGAUCAUGCAGCCUCCAGGGAGCGAAAGCCCUGCCUUUCUCCAGGCUCUGUUUGGAAGGGAAUAGUGGGCAGAUGGGCCUUGCCUGGGAAAACUGACUUCUCUUGGUUCAGGUGAGCAUAGCCAUUCAUCUACUUUUGGCCUUGAUAGAUGUGCCUUAACUGGACAUGUAACAUCAGUGGAAUCAACACAGCAUGGAUUUCUGUGUCUGCUCCUUUCAUCCAGCCUAAUAUUUUUGAGGUUAAACCAUGUGUGACAUGCAUUGGUACUUUGAUUCUUUUCAUUAACAAAUAAUAUUCCUGGGGCCAAUUGCAUGCGUUUUGUAUUUUCUAAAGAAGCAUUUAGUUUUAGUUUUACUUAAUAUCUUAUGAUUGCCUAAUUGCCUAAGUGACCUUUCUAGUUUGUAUACAUUAGGUGCUAUGAAGUUCUAUGGGUUUUGACAAAUGCCCAGUGUCAUGUAUCCACCAUUUCAGUAUCAGAAUAGUUCACUGCUCCAGGGUCCCCAGUGCUUCAGGCAUUCAGCUCUCCCUUCUCUGAACCCCAGCAGCCACUGCUGUUUGCUGACUUACCUCUGUAGUUUUGACUUUCCCAGAAUGUCAUAUAGUUAGAAUCAUUCAGGAUGUAGCCUUUUCAGACAGAUUGCUUUCACUUAGCAAUAUGUCUUGAUAGCUCAUUCCUAUUUAUCCCUGAAUACUGUUCUACUGUAUGGAUGGGCUCCGGAUUUUUAAUCCAUGCACCCACUGAAGGACAUUGUGGUUGCUUUCCAUUUGGGGCAAUUAUGAAAAUAUAUGCUAUAAACAUUCAUGUGCAAGUUUUUGAGUGAAUAUAAGUUUUCAAAUCAAUAGACUAAAUGCCUAAGAAUGUGAUUGCUGGAUCUUAUGGUAAGACUAUGCGUAGUUAUAAAAAACUGUCAACUGUCUUCCAAAGUGGUUGUAACAUUUUGCAUUCUCACCAGCAACAAAUGACAGUUCUGUUGCUCCACAUUCUUGCCAGAAAUUGGUAUUUUCAGCUUCUUGUUAGUUUGCCAUUCUGUUUGUAGCGUUAUUGCAUUGUUGCUUAAUUUGCAAUUACCCAGUCACAAAUGAUGUUGAACAUCCAUAUAUAUAUACAUGUAUUUUUCCAUAUGUAUGUAUUCUUUGGUGAAGUGUUUAUUUAGAUAUAUUGCCCUUUUUAAAAUUAGAUUCUUUUCUUAUAAUUUAGUUUGAAAAGUUUUUUGUAUAUUUUGGAUACAAGUCCUUUGUCAGACAUGUGUUCUGCAAAUGUCAUCUCCCAGUUUGUGUUUUGUCUUUUCAUUCUUUUAACAGUAUCUUUCACAGACUGUAAGUUUUUAAGUUUAAUAAAGUCCAA
rnacentral:lncRNA from 1 species